GCUGCCUAUGACUGAACGUCAGUUGAGAGUCAGUCUCAUGCAGACUGACCAAUGAAGAGAGGGCCUCAAGUUAAGACCCUCUCCUCAUUGGUCAGUCCACACAAGGUGGGUCAAAGGUUACCCUGAGCGGGUUACGUGAUGGUAGGCAUUCAAGUAUUGAGUAUUUUUACUGCAUAUUACAGUAAUAUAUCCUGUAUGUGACCAUAUUAUGGUGAUCCUUGGGUCGUGAUGAUGGGGCCCUUGAAUAUUGUUGCCCAGGGUACAACGAAGUCUUAAUCUGGCCCUGGAUGCAGCUAAAUGUGCAAAAAUGAGCACCUUUUUUUUCUCAAACAAGCUCGCGGUCUUUAACUUCAAAUGAAGAUAAAACGGGUAAGGCAAGUCAAGAUGUUAAACUUUACCGGCUGCAAAUCACCAUUCAAGUUAAUUAAGCAUCAAUAAUGAAUUAUAUGGCAUCAUGACAUAACGUUGUGUAAUAUAAUUUACAGUAUGAUGUGACUGAUGCCACCAAACUGUCUUGUCAGAGUCAAACACAAGAUCCAGUAGGCCUAAUAAGCACCAGGCAGAAACCCACAAUUCCAGAGCGGGCAUGUACAGUGUCAGAAGAAGAGCCAGGAGCCAGCAGUGAGGGUAUUGCUCCUGUUGGGAUAGAAGGUGAGCCAACUCAUGCACAAACAUCAGUUUCAUUAUAAUAAUUUUAAUUUCCAAAUAAUAGUAGUGACCUGAUGUAUUUCUGUUAGUAAAUGCACAAAGCCCACAACAGAUCGUUAUUAGAAUGAAAGUAAAAUGAAAUAAGCCUGCAUAUUUUGCCAUAGAAAAUAUUUUAAUUGGUUACAAAGAUGUGUUUUCCAUAUCAAAUGUGCUAAAGCUUUACAGAUGAUUAUUUUAAUUGUGUGCAGGUGAGUCUAGGGAAACUGGAAAAAGUGUGAAAGGGAGUGCUGAGUCAUUUCAUUUUAAAGGUUGGAAAAUCUCAGAACAGCUGUUUGAACAGAAUGUAGAUUGUCAUAUUGUUAGAGAAUGUGUUGUAAAGAACAAUGUUGGAGAUGUGCACUGAUGUUCAAAUAAACCUACAUUGUAAAGCAACUCUUUCUUGCUUUACAAGAAAGAGUUGCUCUUUCUUGUAAAGCAACUCAACUCUUUCAACUCUUUCUUGCUUUACAAUUACAAGGCUUUA